UAUCUUUCUAACAGUUGGUGGUUUUGUGUACUAAUUUAAUGAAACAGACAGAAUACCAGCUUGUGGCCUUUUGGACUCUCUCUUGCAGCAGGCUACGAUUUGCCAACUUCUCUCCACUUCAGAUACAUUUGCCCUUUGUCCAAGUGCAGGGAUUUAUUUAGGAACCUAAAAGAGGGAACAGAACCUCGCAGAGGCUCAGGGCAACAUUGGAAAGAAGCAGGAAUGUCAGCCCAUAGCUAGAGGAUAAUGUAAUUGGUGAUACUGAACAUAAGGGUCCUGGGGAAGAGGUGAGCAUGCAGAUUUCUGUUGGGUCCCAGCGAGCGUCCCGCUGGCUCAGCUGCCAGUGAGUAUCGAUUCCCUUGGAAGGGAGCCCUCGGAAACCUUCUGCCCAGGGGAGCUGCAUGAAUCAGCAAUGUGCCACUGCUGCUCUGCGAGGGAUGAGAGCUGCGCCGAGCUCCUGAUGUUCCUAUGUGGUUUACAAGAAAGAAGAGAAUAAUCCAGCGUCAGGCAGUGUCAGCUAAAAAAAGAAUCCCUGAAGAAGUUUACUUCCAGGAUGGCUGGAUGGUCAGAGAUCUUCACUGAACUGACAGGUACCCCUCUGUUCUUUCCCAUUGUGCCCUGAAGUCAGACAUGCAUACAGUGAUUUCAGUACAUCACAUCCUUCAGUUCAUUGUGGGCCUCCUGAAAACCUAACACAAAAGGCCAGGAAAAGCCACCACUGCAUGCAGAACUGAUGGGGAUUCCUGCUCCCAUCACUUGUUUCAGCAGCACUGAAAGGCAUAAACAAGGAGUGACUGAGGGGAAUGUCAAGCAAUUCCACAGCUCAGCAAGGAGAGUCCAGCCAGAAACCAGCUCUGUGCAUUUUUCCUUGCAGGAAGGAGCAAUUCCAGUUAUUCCCCAGUGCCAGAACAACUUUCCCUAGGAAAUGAGUGAGAUUGUGAAGUACCUCUGGUGGCUGAAUGCCUACAGGCUCUGGGAACAAACCGUGGAGUAGGGACACCCUUACUGUAAUCACCUGCCCGAACUAUGACAGAAGGAGCCGGUGCUUGAGGACAACUCCUGGAGUCCAUCUGGCAUCACAGGACGGGAGUUCCUUGUGAGUAACUCAAGUUGGGUAUGGACACUGCUCUGUGGAAUACACAGCUGCAGAUCCCUCCAGGAAACCCAGCCAAAUGCACUGUGGAGCUCUCUACUAAAUGCUCUAAAUUUGGCUCCUAUAUAGGCUAACCUAUUCGAGUUUAGCUAAGGAAAAUGUGCUUAAGUAUUUGUGUUCCUAGCUCUUCUCUACUGUUUCAGGUCUACAUCCAGGGGAGAAUAAGGGACAAAGUCAUUAUAAUUUUUCUAAGUCUAUAAAUAUGUGGUUUGAAAGAUAGCAACACUCUGUUUUGAAAACUUUUUAUAGCACAUUUAAAAAAAAGAAAAACAGGCACAAACCAGUUUAUUCUACUUUUUGUCCCCUUUGCUCUAAUUCCCUCAUAUCUAGAAAUGGUUUAUCAUCAUGUUUAUUGCGUUAACUCCCUAUUAAUAACUGUUUCUGUUUAGUGCAAUCUACUUUUUGUAGCAUCUAAGUAUUGUUGUUCCCCAAUUCAGUAUUUUGUUUCCUUAAAUAUUUAUAUGCAAAGCUACUGGAGAUACAGUGGGCUGCCACAAUAGGGAACAGCUGCCUAUGGCCUUUACUGUGUCAGACACCACCACUUUACAGUGAUCCCUGUCCAAUGCAUGGAGAACCAUUGGAAGGAAUUCCUCUGCUGCAGGCAAACAUUUGUCACCUUUCAUUUGCAAAUAUCAAGGUAAGGAAUUAAAUACAUGAACGCUUGUUUUCAAGCCCGUUUUCUCCUUUGAUAAUUUGUGCAUGGCUUAUGAUUAUGUAUUUCCUGUACAACUUUGGAAUUCCUUGCUAGGCUCUGCCCCAAACACUGGCCAUGGGCCCACUGGCUCCAAACCAGUUCUCUGCAUCAAAGGGUUUUCUCCUGGCUCCUUCACAGGGAAGAACUCAGUUUAGAUUGCCUGCAUCCACCAAAAAAACUGAUUCACCAGACAGCACCAGGGACCCCAGCACCUCUGGGCACUUCUUCCUUUGUGGCAAUUUUUCAUUUUGAUACUGAUUGUGAAAUCUGAAUUUCCAGGAAACUCUGUUCAUCUUAGGUCAGGAAUUAACAAAAGCGUGUAAGCUCUUUUCAGAAAACAGGCUUUGAUUUUUUUGUGUUUGUAUUUUGUUAAAUUCACAUAAAACAAUGCAUUAAGCUUAAAAGGAAUUAUCAAUAAGCAAAUUGUAUUUUCCCUUCAUCAGAGUUUUCAUUGAGAGUGGUGGAUCUUGUUGAGGGGAAGAAAACUUUCAAUAAACAUUAAAAGUAGUAGUUGAAAAUAUCUUUAAAAUUUAGGGAGCGGUGAUAAAACUGAAUUUAAUUUAGAAAUAUUCUUGUAUGUCAUUUGCUUCAAAUGAAGAUUGAACUCCAUGUGGAUGAACUGGAAUUUUUCAUGUAGGGAGUAUGGUUUAAAAGAUGUUAAAGAGCUGCAGCUGUAGGGUGAUGAUAGAUACUUGCAAUUAUAAAGAGGGGUCUGUCACCUCUGCACUUGCAGUCAGACUCACUGUGGAAUGGAUUUUGUCUAGUUCAAACUGAAUUUUGUAUUUUCUUGUCGCACAGAUGUUUAGAGUCAGAUAAUUAUCAAAAGCUAAAACUUUGGUUUAAAACUUUGACUUCAGUGGUGGCUGCCAUGACAAGAAUGUGCAAGAUACACUAUUGGAGUGAUUGGAAGUCUUCCAAAGGCAGUAAUCUUUGUAUCUUGCAGAGAGUGAAGUGGGGUCUGUGUCAAUAUUGAUGGAUAUUGGUAAGUUUGUUUCAAUUAUUGUGAGGCUACUUGUGCUAUAAGAACAUUUCCUCUUUUAAGAUUAUGCAGAAGUGUAAGGAUCACUGUUUAGUCUGAGGAGGUUAGGAUGCUGUGUUUCAUUCUGCUGUUUAAUUGCUUUUGGGCACCUAUACUGCAUCUGUAAAUGCUACUGUAGCUAUCAUUUGUGUUCCUUUUCUACUGCUGGGCAUGAGUUACAAUAAAAUGUAAGGAGCAGCUUUUGAAUUUGGGGGAUUUGGUUUACUACUUCUCUAUGGUUAGUUGUAUAAGAGUACAGAAUAAUUGUUAAAUGGAACAGAUUUCACUCUGAACAUACAGAGAAUCAAUAAGUGGGAGUAUUGGUAGAGAACUGAAGGAAUAGAUGAGCAGAGUCCAUAACAAUUUCCACUGCCUGACAUUUGGUGCUAGGAACUGAAGAUCAAAAACACCUAUCUGGAAUUACAGGCUCUUUCUUAGAAGUCAUGAAGACAGGCAGGAGAUUGUGCAUUUUUUGGAUGGAUAUUAGCACACUUUAAAUAGGAGUAACAGGCAUGCAGUAGUAUUAACACCCAAUAUUUAAGAUCCCCUGGUGUGCUUAAAUAUUGCUUGGGAUUUUAAUUUGAGCUCGUAAUAAGCUCAUCACAAGCUUUGCUUAUCUACCUCUACCUUGACUGAUGCGAUGAAGAAGACAGAUACACUCAAUUUAGUCUCUUCUGUUAGUUCCUGAUGAAACAAACAUUUUGGCCUAAUGUAAGUAAAUAUUAAUAACUUUUUAUUAAAAGGUGGAUUCAGAAGACAAGAAAUAGGAAUAUGAAACUUUCAGGGCUGUGUGAAACCUUAUCCCACUGACUUGCCAAGAAAUCCACAGCAACACACAGAAAGACAAAUCAACUUUUCACCUUUUGGAACAUAGCAAGAUCUUCAUUAACACAGAUGCUUUUCAGGCUGCAAUCUGCAGUAGCACCAAAUUGGAAGGUAAUAUUAAAAUGGUGAUUGCAUACAUGAGCACAGCCUUAGCAGUAUAACCAGUGGUGAGCAUGUUCUCACUGGUAUCAGUACCUUGCUGUAUUUAGAAAACAACUUUGAAAUUAGACUCAGGAAAUCGAACCAAAUGAAAAAAAUUUAAAAGAAUAUGCAAAUUAGUCAUCUAGGGCCCUUGACACUUUGGUGGUACCUGAUAUCCAGAAGCUGCUGAGCACCUUCCAGCCACACCUCAGCUGUGCCUGCAGUGGGACAGUGACCCAGGUACCAAGUCACACUGGAGCUGAGUGUGCCAAUACAGCGAGGCUGCCAGAGCCUCCACUUUCACUUAGGGAGUAAGCCCUUGUGCAUUACCUGAAGUGAGCAAGCUUGGCUUGUUAGUUUUGAUACCGAUACUACUUGAGAUCUUCAGUUACAGCUAUUCUGUGUUUGUUUAGUGAACAAUACAGGUCAAAUGGAGCUGCUGGAAAAAUAAAUCCUCAGCCAUCUCUAACUCAGUUCUGACCCUCCACCCUAGGCACGGCGAGACUUCUCUGAAAACAAACAUUCAUUCCUGAAUAAACAUCUUUGAGGAAGCAGGAAUAACUGUGUAUUCCAAGAGGAGGGAUUGCUUCUCAUUCAAGUUUUUCCAGUGAACUCCUGGGUUGCUUCAGAGAGAGCAUUGACUGAAGCCUCUGCUGCAGAGUCUGUGCUCUAUACCCACACCUGCCUGUCUCCAGUUAAUGGCCAGAGAGAUGGAGUGCAGCUGACUGACACUUUGUAAUAACCAACUGAGGGGAGAAAAUCUACCACUUACACACUUGCCACUGAGAGAAAUCAGAAAUGCACUCAAAAGUGCAGCAGGCGACAUGUCUAAGCUGUCACCCAAGGGAAAAAUAAAAAAAUCCAAGUUUUCUGGCCUCUUCAAAUGCCAUGGCUGGAAGAAAAGAUAAAGGAGGGACACUGAUGAUUCAUUUUUAAUUUGAGAGGAUAGAAGGGAGACCUUUACAUUUUUUCAGAGAAAUGCAGAUAUGGAAUCUUCACAAAGGCUGGAGGAGUAUAUUGAAAACUGCUGACUGAUGAAACAACAAUCAAGGUGAUCCAAAGGAAAAAAAGGACAGCCCCAUAAGCCUGGCUAUAGGGCAGAUCUUGGCUGCAUCCUCUGCAGCUCUCACAAGGGCAGUGUACAGAGCACCCACAGAUCCCUGGACUGAGUUCACAAUACACACUGUGCAAGCCCUGAGACAGUCCAUGACACUAAAAGAGCCCAUGGCACUAAAAAACAGGGGAAGGAAACCCCACCAGAAACCAGUGCUGCCAUUUACCAGGGACCUACAGGAAACUUUGUUUGCCACAUAUCAUCUGGCUGAAGAAAAUACCGAAGAAAAAGUCUCCAAGGGUUGCAUAUGAAUUUGAGGAAAAAAUAUAUUCCAUUAGGCUCUUUAAGAUUUUAUUUGAGUCUUGUUUUAACGCCCCAAGCAGAUAAACUUUUAAUUAUUAUAACAUUUCUGAAUGUUACAUUAUUUGAAAAUGUAUUUUUAUAUGUUUUUUCCCUGUAUGGUUUAUAUAUGAAAAGAGAGACAAUACUAGAUUCCAGCAAAGGGCUUUGUGUAAACAAGUCCUGAAAAACUCUGGAAUUCUGUCUGCUUAUUGUUAAGACUCAGGGCUCAGGCAAGGAAGAGCACGUACAGCUAACGGGGCCAUCUCUCCGGGUCAUCCCACAGCUGUUCCUGUUGAAUAUUCAAACACACCCAUCCCCACCCACCUCCACCCAUGCAUGAAAGGAUUGAAAGGAUCACCGGACAAGGAACAGAAAGCAAGACUGAUGACAUUUAAAAACUGUUUUUCGUAAUAAAAAGAUUUUUCCUAAGGUUCCCCACCCUCCCUCUUCUGUUUUCCUUCCUAUAUUCCUUUUUUCUUAAUGACAUAAUCUCCUUUAUCACUUAAUUCUCAUAUUUAUGAUCUAAGUACAUUUGAAUGACCAACCCCUCAAUUAAACCAUCUGUAGUAAAAUAAAAACAGACUUCCUACUAA